ACCUCGUGGUUUGGACAUUGUGAUAGUUUUCCAUUGAAUCUUUCCCAUACUUUAUACAAGGGUUCUCCAUUCAAUUGCCUAAAGUUGAUUAUCUAAUCUCUCAGUU
rfam:Capsicum annuum cultivar Zunla-1 unplaced genomic scaffold scaffold90, whole genome shotgun sequence